CGGGGUGGAGUAAUGUCUGGGAAACGUGCCUGAUGGAGGGGGAUAACUACUGGAAACGGUAGCUAAUACCGCAUAAUGUCGCAAGACCAAAGAGGGGGACCUUCGGGCCUCUUGCCAUCGGAUGUGCCCAGAUGGGAUUAGCUAGUAGGUGGGGUAACGGCUCACCUAGGCGACGAUCCCUAGCUGGUCUGAGAGGAUGACCAGCCACACUGGAACUGAGACACGGUCCAG
rnacentral:rRNA from 1 species